rnacentral:rRNA from 1 species
GACGAACGCUGGCGGCGUGCCUAACACAUGCAAGUCGAGCGGAGUCAGUAAGAGGAAGUUUUCGGAUGGAAUCUUGUUGAUUUAGCGGCGGACGGGUGAGUAACGCGUGAGCGACCAACCUUGCACAGGGGGAUAACGGACCGAAAGGUUCACUAAUACCGCAUGAGACCACGGUGUUGCAUGACACAGGGGUCAAAGGAGCAAUCCGGUGCAAGACGGGCUAGCGUCCGAUUAGGUAGUUGGAGGGGUAACGGCCCACCAAGCCUAUGAUCGGUAGCCGACCUGAGAGGGUGAUCGGCCACAUUGGAACUGAGAUACGGUCCAAACUCCUACGGGAGGCAGCAGUGGGGAAUAUUGGGCAAUGGGGGAAACCCUGACCCAGCAACGCCGCGUGAAGGAAGAAGGUUUUCGGAUUGUAAACUUCUGUCCUUGGCGAAGAGAAGAAGACGGUAGCCAAGGAGGAAGCCCCGGCUAACUACGUGCCAGCAGCCGCCGUAAAAC